rnacentral:rRNA from 1 species
AUUGAACGCUGGCGGCAUGCCUAACACAUGCAAGUCGAACGGGGUAGCAAUACCCAGUGGCGGACGGGUGAGGAAUACAUAGGAAUUUGCCUUUAGGUGGGGGAUAGCCCGGGGAAACUCGGAGUAAUACCGCAUGAUGUCGAAAGACCAAAGUAGGGGAUCGCAAGACCUUGCGCCUUUAGAGAAGCCUAUGUCUGAUUAGCUAGUUGGUAGGGUAAUGGCCUACCAAGGCGACGANCAGUAACUGGUCUGAGAGGACGAUCAGUCACACCGGAACUGAGACACGGUCCGGACUCCUACGGGAGGCAGC